CUUUUGCGUCCGGACUUGGGAGGCGCUGCUUCGGUGGAAGGAACAAUGGCUCUCGGUGGCGUAAUGAAGCUGCUCUCUGAAGAUGUUGAGAUGCAAAGGAAAACAACAACAAAACACGUGAGAGAGUAUUUGCUGGGAUGUUACUUGGUCGAAACCUGACAGUCUUAACACAGCUUCCUGGGGACUGAUAAUAAUGGACCUAUAGAUGUCACUGACUAGCAACCUCAUUUUAAAUGUGGGGUCGCUGUCUGCCCAUGGAAAGAGGCCAGUUUGCUGGAACCUUCCGAAGGUGUAACCCAUUCCUGGCUAAUGCCACGAGAUUUACUUGUAUGAAAAACUGAUGAAGAACAGCUCCUUUUACUGAUACUGAAAGAAAACUUACAAAUCAAGACAAUAUAUUGAUUUUUUUUUUAAUUUUUGUAAGUAGAUAAUAAAGCAGCAUCUAAUCUAAUGUA